UCGAUUAGAGUUUGAUCAUGGCUCAGGCUGAACGCUGGCGGCGUGCCUAACACAUGCAAGUCGAACGGGGUCAUUAAGGAAAAAUCCUUCGGGAUUCGGAAUUCUUGACCAAGUGGCGGACGGGUGAGUAACGCGUGAGCAAUCUGCCUUUGGAUGGGGGAUAACAGCCGGAAACGACUGCUAAUACCGCAUAAUGCAGCAGGACCACAUGAUUUUGCUGCCAAAGAUUUAUCGUCCAAAGAUGAACUCGCGUCUGAUUAGCCAGUUGGCGGGGUAACGGCCCACCAAAGCGACGAUCAGUAGCCGGACUGAGAGGUUGAACGGCCGCAUUGGGACUGAGACACGGCCCAGACUCCUACGGGAGGCAACAGUGGGGAAUAUUGCGCAAUGGGGGAAACCCUGACGCAGCAAGGCCGCGUGAGUGAAGAAGGCCUUCGGGUUGUAAAGCUCUUUAAUCGAGGACGAAUAAUGACGGUACCUGAAGAAUAAGCUCCGGCUAACUACGUGCCAGCAGCCGCGGUAAUACGUAAGGAGCAAGCGUUAUCCGGAUUUACUGGGUGUAAAGGGCGUGUAGGCGGGCCUGCAAGUCAGAAGUGAAAUCUGGGGGCUUAACCCCCAAACUGCUUUUGAAACUGUGGGUCUUGAGUGAUGGAGAGGCAGGCGGAAUUCCCAGUGUAGCGAUGAAAUGCGUAGAUAUUGGGAGGAACACCAGUGGCGAAGGCGGCCUGCUGGACAUUAACUGACGCUGAGGCGCGCAAGCGUGAGGAGCAAACAGGAUUAGAUACCCUGUUAGUCCACGC
rnacentral:rRNA from 1 species